CUACGGGAUGCAGCCGGAUCCGCUCCCCCGUGGGAAUCAGUGUGCCACACAGCAGGCUACUGUGGGCCAGUGCCACCUGGCGCUUCCGUCUCAGGGAACUCUGGCGGUUCGACUGCUUUGCCCUUAGAGAAUGUCACAACCCGUUCAGAAAAACCUAACUCAGAAGGUCUGUCUGUAAGAUGCAGCCACUCAGAAUUCUCAGGACAGUCUAAAACUGAAACCUGACCUUCCUGUCCGCUUCCUCACCGCGGUGAACACCAGGGUUGGUUUCCUAAAGGCCAUUCAUCCCUUUUCCUUCUUGAUGACUUUGCCCAAAUACUUCUGCUACACUGCCUAGAGCGUUUCAUUGUAGUCAUUUGUGAUGCUCGAACUCACCAAGCAAGCAAAGCCAGACUCCUUCUCAUCCACCCGCCCACCUAUCAUUUAUGGCCUGCGCCUCAGUGGCAAGCACACAGAACUGCAAUGCCAGGACCAGGGGCAACAGGAAAUGAAUCACAGUAACAACACAGUGAUCAAUCGACCCGCAGGAGACCGUCAAAGAACAUCUCUCAAGUAAACUGUCAUCACUGGCAACUAUUUUUAGGAAGCUACUUCUCUGCACAGAACAACGAGCAAUGGCCACUGAAAGGCGAAAAGGAGAACACGUAGUGCCCAGCUCAUGCCUCCGUGCAGGGCACAAAGGGGUCAGACAGCAGCACAACAGCUGAUGCCUGCACGGGUGACGCUUUCUCAGCUGCCUUGUUUCCCUGUCUGCACGGGUGACGCUUUCUCAGCUGCCUUGUUUCCCUGUCUGCACGGGUGACGCUUUCUCAGCUGCCUUGUUUCCCUACCUUCAGUCCUUUAUGGUUUCCUUUCCUCUACUUCGUGAUUGGAUUAAUUUAUUGCUCUUCCAUCUUGAAGGUGAAAAGUUAGUUCUUUCCUCCUUUCUAUAAUAAUAUUGAAAAACUAUAAACUUUCCUGAGUACUGCUGGGGGCUACACAUAUUUGGCAUUCUCUUGUUAUUUAUUAAAAUUUAAUUCUCUUGAAGUCAGAGAGUGAAAUCUGUGGACUUCAGCUGUCUGCACUUUUCUCAUGUCUCUUUUAAGGUGAGUGUGCUCCACUUUGGUGAUGUUCUCUGUGUGUCAGAAAUGAAUGCCUAUUUUGUGAUUCUUGAAUGUCCUGGUCUGCAAAUACCAGUUACACCAAACUGCUGAUGACAUCAUGAAUAAACCCAAAGGGGAUAUUUGAAAGUGGCACUUUAAUAAAGACAUUUUUAUGUAGCAGAAUAAA